rnacentral:sRNA from 1 species
AAAGUGCGGGACCCUCAUCAAACUCAGCAACAAUAAUAAGACAGCUGAGCGCCGGCGGCCCCUGGAUGAAUUCAACAAUGGGGUUGUCAUGACUAAUCGCCCACUUCGGGACAAUGAGAUGUUUGAGAUCCGUAUCGACAAGCUUGUUGAUAAGUGGUCAGGCUCCAUUGAGAUUGGGGUCACCACCCACAACCCCAACAGUUUGGAGUACCCAGCCACCAUGACCAACCUCCAGUCAGGCACCAUCAUGAUGAGCGGCUGUGGAAUCCUGACCAAUGGCAAGGGCACCCGCCGGGAGUACUGCGAAUUCAGUCUGGAUGAGUUGCAGGAGGGUGACCACAUCGGCCUCACAAGGAAGUCUAACUCUGCGCUACAUUUCUUCAUUAAUGGUAUCGAUCAGGGAGUGGCGACCCCCUUGACGCCCCCAGUGGUGUAUGGUGUGGUGGAUUUGUACGGGAUGGCAGUGAAGGUGACCAUCGUCCACAAUAACAACCACAGUGACCGUCUCCGCCGGAACAACGCCAUCCUGCGGGCGCUGUCCCCCGAGGGUGCUCUCCGCCGUGCUGCCCCUGCCACCCAGGCAGAACCUGAGCGCCUGCUCUUCCACCCCAACUGUGGGCAGAAGGCAGCCAUCACCCACGAGGGACGCACUGCCCUGAGGCCCCAGUAUGGCCCAUGGGGUGGGGAGAAGCCUGAAGAAGGGAUUCUAAUG